rnacentral:rRNA from 1 species
AGUCUGAUCAUGGCUCAGAUUGGAACGCUGGCGGGAUGCCAUUACGCAAGUCGAACGGCAGCACGGACUUCGGUCUGGUGGCGAGUGCGAACGGGUGAGUAAUGUAUCGGAACGCUUCAGUAGUGUGAUAACUACGCGAGCGUAGCUUACUACCGCAUACCGCCCUUCGGGGAAAGCGGGGACCUUCGGGCCCUCGCACUAUUAGAGCGGCCGAUAUCGAUUAGCUUGGUUGGUGGGGUAACGGCUCACCAAGGCGACGAUCCGUAGUCAGUCGGAGGACGACCAGCCACAUUGGGACCGAGAUUGGUUCAGACUCUACGGGAGGCGCAGUGGGGAAUUUCGGAUACUGGAAACCCUGAUCCAGCCAUCCCGCGUGUGCGAUGAAGGCCUUCGGGUUGUGGUAAAGCACUUUUGGCAGGAAGAAACGGCACGGGAUAAUACCCCGUGCAACUGACGGUACCUGCAGAAUAAGCACCGGCUAACUACGCCAGCAGCCGCGGUAAUACGUAGGGUGCAAGCGUUAAUCACCCUCACGGGCGUAAAGCGUGCGCAGGCGGUUCGGAAAGAAGAUGUGAAAUCCCAUAUUUAACUUUGGAACUGCAUUUUGGAACUACCGAGCCAGAGGUGCCAGAGGGUGGAAUUCCGCGUAGCAGUGAAAUGCGUGGAUAUGGAGGAACACCGAUGGCGAAGGCAGCCCCUGGGAUAACACUGACGCUCAUGCACGAAAGCGUGGGGAGCAAACAGGAUUAGAUACCCUGGUAGUCCACGCCCUAAACGAUGUCAACUAGCUGCUGGGUUUUCGGGCCUGGUAGCGCAGCUAACGCGUGAAGUUGACCGCCUGGGAGUACGGUCGCAAGAUUAAACCUCAAAGGAAUUGACGGGGACCCGCACAAGCGGUGGAUGAUGUGGAUUAAUUCGAUGCAACGCGAAAAACUCAUCAUCUCUCGACAUGUCUGAAUCCCGAAGAGAUUUGGGAGUGCUCGCAAGAGAACUGAACACAGGUGCUGCAGGUAUUGUCGUCAAUGAAGUCGUGAGAUGUUGGGUUAAGUCCCGCAACGACAAACCCUUGUCAUUAGUUGCUACGAAAGGGCACUCUAAUGAGACUGCCGGUGACAAACCGGAGGAAGUGGGGAUGACGUCAAGUCCUCAUGGCCCUUAUGGUAGUCAAUACGGCCAUACAAUGGUUUGGACAGAGGGUCGCCAACCCGCGAGGGGGAGCCAAUCCCAGAAACCUGAUCGUAGUCCGGAUCGCAGUCUGCAACCUCGACUGCGUGAAGUCGGAAUCGCUAGUAAUCGCGAUCAGCGGCUGUCGUGACUAUGUUCCCGGGUCUUGUACACACCGCCCGUCACACCAUGGGAGUGGGUUUACCAGAAGUAGUUAGCCUAACCGUAAGGAGGGCGAUUACCACGGCAGGAUUCAGUGACUGGGGUGAAGUCGUAAUAAGGUAA